rnacentral:rRNA from 1 species
UACAGAGGUGGCAAGCGUUGUUCGGAAUUACUGGGCGUAAAGGGCGCGUAGGCGGUUCGGUAAGUCCUGUGUGAAAUCCCUCGGCUUAACCGGGGAACUGCGUCUGAUACUGGAUGGCUUGAGAUUGGGAGAGGGAUGCGGAAUUCCAGGUGUAGCGGUGAAAUGCGUAGAUAUCUGGAGGAACACCGGUGGCGAAGGCGGCAUCCUGGACCAACACUGACGCUGAGGAGCGAAAGCCAGGGGAGCAAACGGG